UUAGAAAUUUAAAUACUGUAAUGUUAAUAAAUAGUGUCCUUAUUUAUUUUAUAUCCUCAAAUCCUGAUUAUGUAACCAAACACACAAACAAAUGAUACUCAAUGUUUCACACUUUGUGACUGUCCAGCUGAAUGAUCACACGAACUGUGGACAACAACAACGGCAAAACUCCCCUCCCCCUUCCCCUUCUCACUCCCCCUCCCCUUCUCACUCCCCCUCCCCUUCUCACUCCCCCUCCCCUUCACAGUCCCCCUCAGCUUCCCAGUCCCCCUCAGCUUCCCAGUCCCCCUCAGCUUCCCAGUCCACCUCAGCUUCCCAGUCCACCUCAUCUUCCCAGUCCCCCUCAUCUUCCCAGGCCCCAUCAGCUUCCCUGGCCCACUCCACUUUCCAUUCCCCUUCUCACCACACCUCUCCAUCUCUUUCUGGGACCCCUUCUCCUCCUUCCCAUACCCCUUCUCCUUCAAAUUCAACAUCCCAAUCUGAACCCCCCUCACCCUCUAUUGCUUUAACUUUUUCUCCGCCCCCCUCGCCCUCUCAAUCAGACCCCCCCUCUGAAAUUGGCAAACAAAUCCAGCCUCCUUCCCCCAUCCAGCCUCCUGCCCCAAUCCCUCCUCCUUCCCCAAUCCCUCCUCCUUCCCCAAUCCCUCCUCCUUCCCCCAUCCAGCCGCCUUCCCCCAUCCAGCCAACAUCCCCACCCAGUGAAUGGGCAGAGGAAGCCCCUGCAGACCGUUCCGGGAGUCUGGAUGUUGCCGUGGAAAAUGUUGCCGUUGGAGAUCCAACAUCAAUACAGUACAUUUGUACACAUAUGAGGCAGCAUCUCCAGGCCUUGUUGGAACUUGUUGGGGACCUGGAAAAGUUAUGUUAAAUUUUAUU